AACCAAUUUAUUUCAUAAAUAAAUGAAAUAAAAAUUUUUAUUGAAACUAAUUUCAAAAUUUUUCUGUGCUAGCACAGAUAUGAAAAUCAAAUUCUGACUAGCUAUAGGAACAUAAUAGCAAUCCUUUAAAUCUAAUCUAAAGCCAGAUGAUAAUCGAAGAGGAUAAGUACCAAUGGUCUCUACAGUAAUUUUUACUCCAUUAUCGACCUGAAAGAUCAUGUUAUCUUUCCUUAAUUUCUUACUUUUUAUUAGACCCUGCAUUGAGAUACAUAUAUGAGCACUCGAGCCAGAGUCUAAUACCUAACUAGAAGUAGAAGAAACUAUAAGGUUAGAUUCAAUUAUGAACAUACCUUCUAAAGGUUUAUCACUCUUUUUGAUCUUUAGGCUCUCCAGGU
rnacentral:lncRNA from 1 species